GGGCGUACCCUGCUCGGGUUCUGCCACCGCCCGCAGCAAGCGUGCUUCGCAUCUUGCGAACAAAAAGCCCUGCCUGCCUCCGGCUGCCGGAGUACGGGUGUCACACAAGGCGUAGGCUCUCUAGCCCGCUGCUGCGGCACCCGGUUGUUGGKCUCGUGCACGCCCGCACGCGCCCUGCACCCUGUGUCGCACACGAAGCUCCAGGCGGGGCGCGGCGUUGGGGCUCUCUCCCCGCGCCGCGUUCCGCCUCUGCCCUGCAAGCCCUGUAAUCUUACGGAAGCGCUACCCAUACGUCGUGUCCUUUGGCUGGCGCCGGUUCCGCUGUCGCGCGAACCCGGCUGCUGACUCCGCCGAACGUCCCCUGCA
rnacentral:misc_RNA from 1 species